UGGCCAAGGAUGAGAACUCUAAUCUGAUUAGAUAUGCUUCUGCUCUGAUGGAUUAAAGGAUUUACCUGAGGCCA
rnacentral:snoRNA from 1 species